AUGGUAAAGCGAUGGCGGUUAUGCUGUGGUUGUUGGUAUAAGGGACAUACGAUGAUGGAUGAUGUUGAAGGUUUUGAAGCGGAUUUGCAGAAGUUGUGUGUCGUUCAUAAUGAUGCAGACACGAUGAUGUUGUUGAAGAAGAGUUUUGACAUGGGGGUUAUGGAGACAGAGGGUGGGAUAGAAACUAGCACAUGGUUGAUUUGUGGGCAGCGAGUUUGGGAGAACAUGGUUGCACUCUUGUUUCAUGAAGCAUAUGAGAAAGGUUAA